rnacentral:rRNA from 1 species
AGAGUUUGAUCCUGGCUCAGGAUGAACGCUGGCGGCGUGCCUAAUACAUGCAAGUCGAGCGGCAACAUGCUUCUCACCGAGGUUCGAAGACAUUUACCAACUUUACAUUUACCAAUUUACCAAAUUAUUUGCAGAAUUCUCAUUUACCAGACAAUCAGCUUCUAGGCUGAAAUGAUAAAUGAUACCUGAUAAAUAAUUGAUAAAUGCGAACUGUUAAAUGGUAAAUCUUCGCACUUCAGUGAGGAGUGAUGGCGAGCGGCGGACGGCUGAGUAACACGUAGGAAUGUACCCCAAACUGAGGGAUAAGCAUCAGAAAUGGUGUCUAAUACCGCAUAUUCUCGUGCUUCACUUUUGUGAAGCAGGUGAAAGGUUCAAGGUUAUAGGUUCUAGAUUUUUUCUAACACCUAAAACCCAACACCUAAAACCUGCUUUGUGAGAGCGAAGCUCGAGCAAAGCCUUACGGCGGUUUGGGAACGGCCUGCGCAUGAUUAGCUUGUUGGUGAGGUAAUGGCUCACCAAGGCGACGAUCAUUAGCUGGUCUGAGAGGAUGAUCAGCCAGACUGGGACUGAGACACGGCCCAGACUCCUACGGGAGGCAGCAGUAGGGAAUUUUCCACAAUGGGCGAAAGCCUGAUGGAGCAACGCCGCGUGCAGGAUGAAGGCCUUCGGGUCGUAAACUGCUUUUGUUUGUGAAGAUUAUGACGGUAACAGACGAAUAAGGGUCUGCUAACUACGUGCCAGCAGCCGCGGUCAUACGUAGGACCCAAGCGUUAUCCGGAAUUACUGGGCGUAAAGAGUUGCGUAGGUGGCAGAGUAAGUAGGUAGUGAAAGCGUCCCGCUCAACGGGAUAUACAUUAUCUAAACUGCUCAGCUAGAGAACGAGAGAGGUCACUGGAAUUCCUAGUGUAGGAGUGAAAUCCGUAGAUAUUAGGAGGAACACCGAUGGCGUAGGCAGGUGACUGGCUCGUUUCUGACACUAAGGCACGAAAGCGUGGGGAGCGAACGGGAUUAGAUACCCCGGUAGUCCACGCCGUAAACGAUGGAUGCUAGCUGUUAUGCGUAUCGACCCGCGUAGUAGCGAAGCUAACGCGUUAAGCAUCCCGCCUGUGGAGUACGGCCGCAAGGCUAAAACAUAAAGGAAUUGACGGGGACCCGCACAAGCGGUGGAGCGUGUUGUUUAAUUCGAUGCAAAGCGAAGAACCUUACCAAGGUUUGACAUCCUGGGAAUUUCUCCGAAAGGAGAGAGUGCCUUCGGGAAUCCAGUGACAGGUGCUGCAUGGCCGUCGUCAGCUCGUGUCGUGAGAUGUUUGGUUAAGUCCAUCAACGAGCGCAACCCUUAUAGUUAGUUGAAUUUCUCUAGCUAGACUGCCCUGGUAACAGGGAGGAAGGAGGGGAUGAUGUCAGGUCCGUAUUGCCCUUAUAUCUUGGGCUACAAACACGCUACAAUGGCCGGUACAAAGGGCUGCCAAGCAGUAAUGCGGAGCUAAUCCCAUCAAAGCCGGUCUCAGUUCGGAUCGGGGGCUGAAACCCGCCCCCGUGAAGCUGGAAUCGCUAGUAACGGUAGGUCAGCACACUACCGUGAAUACGUUCCCGGGUCUUGUACAAAAUAAAUGUGCCUGGCAGUGCAUUGGACUAAGUGGUGUAAAUCCACUUUCAUAGUUGAGGACAGGGC